UUAUGAGGUUUUUGAUUUUUGAGGAAUUCCCUGAGGGUGGGGAAGGCUGGUGUCUCCCAGGCCAAGGUCUGAGGUGGGAGCAGCAGGGGCACCUGGACUCUAGGGCUGGGGUGGUGACUGUGGAGGGAGAGACAGGCAGAGCCCAGGUGACUCCCUGUAGGAAGGGUAGGCCAGGAAGCAGGGCCAGGAAGCUGAAAGGGGUGGGACCGGGAAGCUGGAAGGGGUGGAACCUACUCGGGGAGAUCCUUGGUGGGGACAAGGAGGCACAUGUGUCUGGCUGCGCUGGAGCUGAAAGUCUGAGAGCAGGCAGUGAGAUUGGGAGCAGAGAGAGCACCCUGAGGGCAGAGCUCUGGGCCAUGUGGAGGCCUCUUCCUGUAAUCAGGAGGCAGAGGGAGCCCCUGGUGGUCCAGCAGGACCAGACGGCUCCUUCCCCUGGGACUGCCAGCCAGGCCUGCCAUGCUGUGUUCCAGAAGCUGCAGUCUGUCCAGCCAGGCUCAGGGGAGGGUCUUUGGACCCCCAGUGGUGGAUUUUGGGAAUGCUGGAAGCCAAGCUUGCACAUUCCAGGCAGCGAUUUGGAAGAUUCUUUUCUGUGGGUGACCAACUGGAAAGGAAAAACCCCGAAACAUUGGCACUGUGACUUCUCCAUGUGAACAGUUUAACUAGUUCGUCGAGGUGGACAUGCCUCAUUCAUGCUUAUGGAGUGACCAACCAGCCUUUAGUGACACCCCCUGAAAUGUGAAUUAUCCAUGGGUCACUAGUCGUUGGAGAAGAGCCUCUCACACAAAAAUUGGAACUCAGAUCACAAACAACAACAACAAUCCAAAAAAUAAAAAAAUAAAAAAUUA